CCUACGGGAGGCAGCAGUGAGGAAUAUUGGUCAAUGGCCGAGAGGCUGAACCAGCCAAGUCGCGGGAGGGAAGACGGCCCUACGGGGUGUAAACCUCUUUUGUCGGGGAGCAAAGCGAAACACGUGAGGUUCAUUGAGAGUACCCGAAGAAAAAGCAUCGGCCACAGCCGUGCCAGCAGCCGCGGUAAUACGGAGGAUGCGAGCGGUAUCCGGAUUUAUUGGGUUUAAAGGGUGCGCAGGCGGAGGUGCAAGUCAGCGGUCAAAUUGCGGGGCUCAACCCCGUACUGCCGUUGAAACUGCAUCCCUUGAGUGCGCGAGAAGUAUGCGGAAUGCGUGGUGUAGCGGUGAAAUGCAUAGAUAUCACGCAGAACUCCGAUUGCGAAGGCAGCAUACCGGCGCGCAACUGACGCUCAUGCACGAAAGCGUGGGUAUCGAACAGGAUUAGAUACCCGAGUAGUC
rnacentral:rRNA from 1 species